GGUUAAGCGACUAAGCGUACACGGUGGAUGCCCUGGCAGUCAGAGGCGAUGAAGGACGUGCUAAUCUGCGAUAAGCGUCGGUAAGGUGAUAUGAACCGUUAUAACCGGCGAUUUCCGAAUGGGGAAACCCAGUGUGUUUCGACACACUAUCAUUAACUGAAUCCAUAGGUUAAUGAGGCGAACCGGGGGAACUGAAACAUCUAAGUACCCCGAGGAAAAGAAAUCAACCGAGAUUCCCCCAGUAGCGGCGAGCGAACGGGGAGCAGCCCAGAGCCUGAAUCAGUGUGUGUGUUAGUGGAAGCGUCUGGAAAGGCGCGCGAUACAGGGUGACAGCCCCGUACACAAAAAUGCACAUGCUGUGAGCUCGAUGAGUAGGGCGGGACACGUGGUAUCCUGUCUGAAUAUGGGGGGACCAUCCUCCAAGGCUAAAUACUCCUGACUGACCGAUAGUGAACCAGUACCGUGAGGGAAAGGCGAAAAGAACCCCGGCGAGGGGAGUGAAAAAGAACCUGAAACCGUGUACGUACAAGCAGUGGGAGCACGCUUAGGCGUGUGACUGCGUACCUUUUGUAUAAUGGGUCAGCGACUUAUAUUCUGUAGCAAGGUUAACCGAAUAGGGGAGCCGAAGGGAAACCGAGUCUUAACUGGGCGUUAAGUUGCAGGGUAUAGACCCGAAACCCGGUGAUCUAGCCAUGGGCAGGUUGAAGGUUGGGUAACACUAACUGGAGGACCGAACCGACUAAUGUUGAAAAAUUAGCGGAUGACUUGUGGCUGGGGGUGAAAGGCCAAUCAAACCGGGAGAUAGCUGGUUCUCCCCGAAAGCUAUUUAGGUAGCGCCUCGUGAAUUCAUCUCCGGGGGUAGAGCACUGUUUCGGCAAGGGGGUCAUCCCGACUUACCAACCCGAUGCAAACUGCGAAUACCGGAGAAUGUUAUCACGGGAGACACACGGCGGGUGCUAACGUCCGUCGUGAAGAGGGAAACAACCCAGACCGCCAGCUAAGGUCCCAAAGUCAUGGUUAAGUGGGAAACGAUGUGGGAAGGCCCAGACAGCCAGGAUGUUGGCUUAGAAGCAGCCAUCAUUUAAAGAAAGCGUAAUAGCUCACUGGUCGAGUCGGCCUGCGCGGAAGAUGUAACGGGGCUAAACCAUGCACCGAAGCUGCGGCAGCGACGCUUAUGCGUUGUUGGGUAGGGGAGCGUUCUGUAAGCCUGUGAAGGUGUGCUGUGAGGCAUGCUGGAGGUAUCAGAAGUGCGAAUGCUGACAUAAGUAACGAUAAAGCGGGUGAAAAGCCCGCUCGCCGGAAGACCAAGGGUUCCUGUCCAACGUUAAUCGGGGCAGGGUGAGUCGACCCCUAAGGCGAGGCCGAAAGGCGUAGUCGAUGGGAAACAGGUUAAUAUUCCUGUACUUGGUGUUACUGCGAAGGGGGGACGGAGAAGGCUAUGUUGGCCGGGCGACGGUUGUCCCGGUUUAAGCGUGUAGGCUGGUUUUCCAGGCAAAUCCGGAAAAUCAAGGCUGAGGCGUGAUGACGAGGCACUACGGUGCUGAAGCGACAAAUGCCCUGCUUCCAGGAAAAGCCUCUAAGCAUCAGGUAACAUCAAAUCGUACCCCAAACCGACACAGGUGGUCAGGUAGAGAAUACCAAGGCGCUUGAGAGAACUCGGGUGAAGGAACUAGGCAAAAUGGUGCCGUAACUUCGGGAGAAGGCACGCUGAUAUGUAGGUGAAGUCCCUCGCGGAUGGAGCUGAAAUCAGUCGAAGAUACCAGCUGGCUGCAACUGUUUAUUAAAAACACAGCACUGUGCAAACACGAAAGUGGACGUAUACGGUGUGACGCCUGCCCGGUGCCGGAAGGUUAAUUGAUGGGGUCAGCGCAAGCGAAGCUCUUGAUCGAAGCCCCGGUAAACGGCGGCCGUAACUAUAACGGUCCUAAGGUAGCGAAAUUCCUUGUCGGGUAAGUUCCGACCUGCACGAAUGGCGUAAUGAUGGCCAGGCUGUCUCCACCCGAGACUCAGUGAAAUUGAACUCGCUGUGAAGAUGCAGUGUACCCGCGGCAAGACGGAAAGACCCCGUGAACCUUUACUAUAGCUUGACACUGAACAUUGAGCCUUGAUGUGUAGGAUAGGUGGGAGGCUUAGAAGUGUGGACGCCAGUCUGCAUGGAGCCGACCUUGAAAUACCACCCUUUAAUGUUUGAUGUUCUAACGUUGACCCGUAAUCCGGGUUGCGGACAGUGUCUGGUGGGUAGUUUGACUGGGGCGGUCUCCUCCUAAAGAGUAACGGAGGAGCACGAAGGUUGGCUAAUCCUGGUCGGACAUCAGGAGGUUAGUGCAAUGGCAUAAGCCAGCUUGACUGCGAGCGUGACGGCGCGAGCAGGUGCGAAAGCAGGUCAUAGUGAUCCGGUGGUUCUGAAUGGAAGGGCCAUCGCUCAACGGAUAAAAGGUACUCCGGGGAUAACAGGCUGAUACCGCCCAAGAGUUCAUAUCGACGGCGGUGUUUGGCACCUCGAUGUCGGCUCAUCACAUCCUGGGGCUGAAGUAGGUCCCAAGGGUAUGGCUGUUCGCCAUUUAAAGUGGUACGCGAGCUGGGUUUAGAACGUCGUGAGACAGUUCGGUCCCUAUCUGCCGUGGGCGCUGGAGAACUGAGGGGGGCUGCUCCUAGUACGAGAGGACCGGAGUGGACGCAUCACUGGUGUUCGGGUUGUCAUGCCAAUGGCACUGCCCGGUAGCUAAAUGCGGAAGAGAUAAGUGCUGAAAGCAUCUAAGCACGAAACUUGCCCCGAGAUGAGUUCUCCCUGACUCCUUGAGAGUCCUGAAGGAACGUUGAAGACGACGACGUUGAUAGGCCGGGUGUGUAAGCGCAGCGAUGCGUUGAGCUAACCGGUACUAAUGAACCGUGAGGCUUAACCUUACAACGCCGAAGCUGUU
rnacentral:rRNA from 1 species